UACGAAGGGGCUAGCGUUGUUCGGAAUUACUGGGCGUAAAGCGUGCGCAGGCGGUUGUGCAAGACCGAUGUGAAAUCCCCGGGCUUAACCUGGGAAUGGCAUUGGUGGCUGCACGGCUAGAGUGUGUCAGAGGGGGUAGAAUUCCACGUGUAGCAGUGAAAUGCGUAGAGAUGUGGAGGAAUACCGAUGGCGAAGGCAGCCCCUGGGA
rnacentral:rRNA from 1 species